rnacentral:lncRNA from 1 species
UUGGGAGAAGCAGCAAGGGGAGAGAUCUUAUCAGUCCCCCUAAAUUAUCAGGAUGCCUAUAACACCAGCUUUUCCCCUCCUCAAACACCAGCUUUUACUUCCGUCUACAUUCAUUCUUGAAAGUAUUUGGAGCAUCUUUUUGUAAGACAUGGUUUAUGAACCCCCUGUAAGAAAGCCAUGGGUAUUUGGUAAACGUUCAGAUGAUUAAGCUCUAUCCCUGAACUAAAAGUCAGAAUCUUUUAGGUGUGUUCCUGAAAUGUGCCAGUCAUCAACUUCUCCUCCUGCAGCAUAUGGGGGUUCCCAGGUCCAAUCAGAACUGCAGCUGUGGGCCUACACCACAGCCACAGAAACAUGGGAUCCGAGCCAUGUCUGCAACCUACACACAGCUCACGGCAACGUCGGAUCCCCAACCCACUGAGUGAGGCCAGGGGUCGAACCCGCAUCCUCGUGGAUCCUAGUCGGGUUUGUUACCACUGAGCCAAGAUGGGAACUCCCCCACCAGUGGAAUUCUUACACAGAAAUAAACUUGAGGACAACUGCUUCAAAGCAGAGGCUCAGCAAAUCAGGCUAUAUCAACAUUUACACUUUUCCUGUUUUACUGCUAUUUCUCAGCAAGGUUAUAAACUGCUGAGGGCAAAGACUAUAUCCCAAACCUUAAAGAAUUCCCCAGAGCUUCUCUUACCUCAUAUUUUAAUGAUUUUAUAUUUUGAGCAAUGUUUUUCCAAUUAACAUCAAAAAAGAAAUAACAUUAUCUCAGUAGAGGUCAUGAGAAUUCAAUGAAAUGGGUGUUGAUCAGAUAUUUAAAUUAUGUAUGAAUUAAACAAGCAUCCCAAACCACAGGAACUCAUUGUCCUUUGUCCAUUUUACGAAUUUUUUUCUAGUGUUUGCAUGGGAGAGACAAAGGCACAGUACAUGCAAAUCAUCAAACAUAGCAUGCUCUUUGCUGCGUUACUCUGACUUUAUUAUAUGUCAGAGCCAAAAUUAUUCUCUCCAAAAUUAGAAAUCAUGAUCUCACAUAUAGAUGUUUACUUUCCACACAAUUUCAUGAGUACAUCUACUUAGUUAAGUGAAUUUAAGCAAUAUUUACUUUGCCCUAAGAUGUUCAAAGAAAUGUACUUAAUAUAUUCAAAAUGUAUAUAUUUUUCUCAGAAUCUCCAUUUCUCCACAGGUUAAAUAGGUAAAGCAAUGCUUGUCCCUUUUUGAGGUUGGCAUAGAAGUUAAAGUACACUGGAUUUUUAAAAUUUUAGGACAGGGAUAGUAGUAUAUAGUAGUAUAUAGAUGUGUUUUUAGAUCAUCUGGGAAAAAAUACACCAGACUGAUAAAAGAGCAAGAUCAAGAAUGAUUUCUUUGUGUGUAUGUGUAAAAGCAUUUGGUGGAAGGUUUAUUGUUCUCCUGUGUGAAUGAUCCUCUUUGAAAUUGAAAACUUUGGCUGUUGCUCUUUCUUUCUUUUUUUUUUUUUUUUUUUAAAGUUUAAGGAAUCCCUAAAAUGACUUAAAUAAUCACCCAGGUCCUUUAAAGAUCAGGCAACACCUUCAGUGUGCCCAAGGAGUGCGUAUUUCUUGGAGAGUGGAACACCAUUUUAAGGCUAACACAGGAAGCCACACUCAGGAUUCAAAGUCUAGGGUUGGUAUUUAGUGUGGUUUGCAGCCUGUUUUCCUUACGUGGUGAUGCCUGAAGACAAACUCCCAAGCCCAAGGCACAGAGAUGGAGCAGCUGCAAACACUGAUGAGGUGGGCGGGAGAUCAACUCGGUCACUGGUCUGUACGGACCUGGGGCCAGUAAACUUUCUGUAAAGUGGCAGAUAGAAAAUACAUUGGACUUUGUGGGUCAUACAAUCUCUAUUGCAACAAGUCAGCUCUGCUUCGUGUGAAAGCAGCCACAGACGUGAGAGAAUAAAUCAAGCUGUGUCCCAAUGAAAGGUUACUUACAGAAGCAGGUGACACAGAGGCUCAAGUUUGCCAACCAUCAGCAGAGACUGAAACCCUUCUUGUGGGCUGAGAAGACACUCCAAGCACUAUCUGAAAAAGAAUGGAUAUGUGUAUGUAUACAACUGAAUCACUCUGUUGUACAGCGGAAAUGAUCCGAGCAUGGUAAGUCAACUAUACUUCAAUAAAACUCUAAAAAAAUGUGAAAAAAAGAGAACUUCAGCAUUGGCAACAUCUGUGUUUGGAAGUUCAGGGGAGUCCACGAUGCACCCUUCCAUUCUGUAAAAGGUGGCAAAAAUUUCCUACCUAAACAGCUGCAAAGGAAACAGUUCAGGAGUUCCUUUGUGUCUCAGCGGAAAGGAAUCUGACUAGAAUCCAUGAGGAUGCAGGUUCAAUCCCUGGCCUUGCUCAGUGGGUUAAGGAUCUGGUGUUGUCCUGAGCUGUGGUGUAGGUUGCAGAUGUGGCUCGGAUCUGACAUUGCUGUGGCUAUGACAUAGGCCAGCAGGUAUAGUUCUGAUUUGACCCCAAUCUGGGAGCCUCCAUAUGCUGCAGAUGUGGCCCUAAAAAAGGAAGGAAGGAAUUGGGGAGGGAAGGAAGGGAGGAGGGGAGAAAGAAACCAGUUCAGUUGUUUUUCCCUUUAAAUAUGCCUAUGGCUGGAAUUUGUUUUAAAAAAAAAAGAAGAAGGAAAAAAAGAGAGAGAAGGACAGGAAGUGUGUGCAAAGAAAAACUGGAUUAAGCAAGAAAAUUGACAUAUUCUGGUGGACAGACCCUGUGAGGCCAGAGCACGUUUGCUGACCGGGCAACUAAGACAGAAAAGAAAGCUAAAGAGUGGCCUAGAGAGUGUCUUUAGAAACAAUGGACAAACCACAUGAAAGAAUAAGCAUGUGAGAUUAGUGGUUAAGACUACAGCCUGAGGGGGAGGCCGGCGAGAACACAGCCUCUGGAAACCAGCCGACCUAAAUUUUAAACCCUGUCUGAUCUUAAGCAUGUUUCUUAACCUCCAAACCUCAGUUUCCUCAUCUGUGCAAUGGGAAUAAGGAUACCUUCACAUACAGUAUGUCUGAAAAGAAUAAACUGUUGAACCUUUAACGUAAUGUUAAGUGCCUAGUAAAUGGAAAUCACUGUAAUAAACGAGGGUUUGAGCAGAAAAUUCAUAUUGAGAGCAACUAAAACUGAAAAUGUGAUUAGUUUCCCAGGUGAGUAAAAAAUAAAGCCGUAAACUCAAGCAGCAUACUCCUCUUCUACAAUUAUGUUUUCUAGGUCCAUUCAUUUUUCACUCAGCAAAUUUUUCUCACCGCUUAUUAUAUUACUGGCGCUGUGUUAGUUUCUGGGGUUAAAAAUGAACAAAAGUUCCUCCCUUCUGACAAUAGAAAGUUGAAAGGACCUUAGUGGCUUUACUUGUCAUCAAGAUAAUUGCUUUGAGCUGAAACCCACCUUUCUGCACUCUGAUUAGUGAUACUGAAUGUGACAUUCUGGAAACCACUAAUUCUAUUUAAAUAAUUAACUUAGCAAAAAUAGAAAAAAAUAUAACCUUUUUAUGUGUCUGUCCCUCCCUAGAUAUUAGUCACUUUUCAGUAUUACUCACAUAGAUACACUGUCCCCUUUAAUCUUACUUUAAUUUUACUUUUUCUGGAAAAAUUCUAUUUGGGCCCACCAAAUUUUCCACUGGAUUUAUCCCUUUACAAGUAAACCUGUCUGCUCCCAUCCUGAUUUCCAGGGC